UGAGCGCUGUGGAACAGCAAGGUCCCGCGAGACUCCGAAAUUGUGGUCUCUAGGAAGAGCGAGGUUGAGUUACAGCCCUGAGUAGGGUGGUUGCAGGCUCGGCUUCCGCCUCUGUACCUCUAGCUGCAUCUGUCUUUUUUCUCAUUUUGCGCUUCUUGUGUGAGGAAGACGUCGUAACUGUGUAGGGGAGGUUUCUGCGCCCCGGGGCGCUCGGGAGGAGACGGAAGAAGCGACUUUUCCAGCAGGGUAGCUAUGCUCGCCCGCGGAGGGCCCGCGGCCACAAAUCGCCGCCGGGAAGGUGUGGUUUCUGGUUUCGAGUCCGCCGCCCCCUUCAGAAGUAGCGCCAGAGGGGCGAGGGCGUCGUCGAUGGUUCCAGCCAGGCGCUUACUUUCCUAGUUCGGGACCCGGCUUGGUCUGACCGUCUUUACCCUGCUGGAUGAUGAGGAAACUGAGACACAGCGAGUUUAAAUACCUUUCUCAAAGUGAUGGGGCUUUGGUCUGAAGUCUCGCUGUAAAGGCCAUGUUCUUAACCAGUAGGCAUUGGCUGUGACAACUCUCCAUGUAUUCCAACAGGAUGGGGAUUUGGAUCAGAACAGGGGGCUUCUGGCUGCAUGUGAGAAAAUUCCUCACCUCUGACCAACUUCAGAAUUGUUCAUCAGUGUGGACACUGUCAUUAGAUUUAGGGUCACCCUAACACAGAUGACCUCAUCUUCAGAUCCUCAACUAUAUCUGAAAAGACCCUUUCCCAGGAGAUGACCAAGGCCCCAUAUGGACGGGGGCAAACAGCAGCCAUGUGAAUGGGGGUCUGGGGAGAAUGAGGACCCUGGAAGCACCAGGAAAGGAUCCAGGCCUGGCUUCAUCAGGAGGAGGCCCUGAGAAUGAACAUGUGCUGCCCUGAAGACUAACCAGGAGGAUUUGGGAGGGGCCGCUAGAAGGGAUGAGAUGACCAGCCUCCCAGGAUCCUUGGUGCCGGAGUCCAUCUUGGCUGAGAGAGCUAAACCCUCAACAAAUGGAAAACUGGAGAGGAGGACCACCAGCACCAGUCCUGGGGCUGCCGAACAUCAACUUUGAAGAGGAAUGCAAGCUUGCAUCUACCCUGAUCCUUACCUGUGGCCCUAUUUUCUACUGCCACACUGUGUAAAAUCCCUUCCUGAUCUCUCCCAAGGUGGGGCACAGUCUUUAGGGCAUUAGCCUGCUGUGGCCUCCUUUGCUUGGCAAAGCAAUAAAGCUAUUUUUUUUU